rnacentral:misc_RNA from 1 species
GGAAGGAUCAUUUCCAUAACGAUAUGGAGGACUUGAGGAUAGAUAGAGUAGUAACAUUCUUCUUCUUCAAUGUCCUCUGAUAUAUCUAUCAACUGUGAAAAAGUAAUAUAUAACAUUAUAAUCUCUGCUAAACACAAUCUGCUACAAUUUCGCAAGAAAUUAAACAUAGCAAACGAUACAACUUUUAACAAUGGAUCUCUUGGCUCUUGCAUCGAUGAAGAACGCAGCGAAAUGCGAUACGUAAUGCGAAUUGCAUGAUUUGCGAGUCAUCGAAUCUUUGAACGCACAUUGCACUUUGCCUAACAGCAAAGUAUAUCUAUUUGAGUGAUUGUAGGCAACACCUAUGUUGCGGAGACAUCCUGUAACUUCUAUUUCAACGUUCAUCGUAGUUAUAGUGUAAUAGUGCAGUUGUCGACAAUACAUAGGGAUCUUGAGUGAUCAAGAAUGUACUUUCUUGUCGCUUUAAAUGUAUUUCAGAGCUUGUGUUUUCCGCAUGCCAUCUAUAAAGGAUGCAUUUGCUAGUCUAGCAUUGUUUCUCUACCUUUUCGAGGAAGGGAAGCCGAUGUGCCAGAACGUAGCUUGCGCGCAACUCAGUGAGUACUAUGUGGUCGAAGCUUUAUUGCAUCGGCUCGUUGCCCACUAUUAGCCGUAUUCAUGCGUUUCGCUUUCGGUAGAUGUUUGCACUUAGCUUUGCAUAUACUAAUAGUGGUUGGAAAAUCGCAGCAACAAUUUUCAAUAUACGAAAUAACCAAAGGUAUAUUGUGAAGAUUGGAAAUAAUCAUCUUGUAUUACAUGAAGAAUACCUCAAAUUAGAUAAGACUACCCGCUGAACUUAAGCAUAUCAGUAAGCGGAGGAAAAGAAAGUAACAACGAUUCCCUUAGUAACGGCGAGUGAAGCGGGAAUAGCUCAACGUGGAAAUCGUGCAUAGCAAUAUGCUACGAGUUGUAGUUGGGAGAAAUACGGUCUGUGUGGCGAUUGCGUACAAGUCCUUUGGAAAAGGGCAUCAUAGAGGGUGACAAUCCCGUCCAUGACGCAAUUGAUAUACUUUGAACCGUACUUUCGUAGAGUCGGGUUGUUUGGGACUGCAGCCCAAAGCAGGUGGUAAAUUUCACCUAAAGCUAAAUAUUGGCAAGAGACCGAUAGCGAACAAGUACCGUGAGGGAAAGAUGAAAAGAACUCUGAAGAGAGAGUUAAAAGUACGUGAAAUUGUUAAAAGGGAAGCGAUCUGGAUCGGUAAUUGCUCUGUCAGAUUCAAGAAAGCCUUAAUCGGCCUUUUGCACUUCUGACUGAGCAGCACCAACAUCGAUUACGGAUGCUAUAAGCGCUUUGGUAGAAGGUAGCAACACUCUUCGGAAGGUUGUGUUAUAGCUACCAUAGUUCAUAGUGUCUGUGAUCGAGGAAGCUAAAGGACUUAAACACUCAAUGAAGACAGCGUCCCUUUGACGAUACGUGGCGUAAGCGACAAGUCCCUCUAACGAGAGAAUUGACCAUGCGCUUACGAUGUCCCGGAGCGGCGUUGUCUUAACGUAUGAAAGAGUCCUACAGAUGUUGGUAUAACGGUCUUGAUCGACCCGUCUUGAAACACGGACCAAGGAGACCAACAUAUGCGCAAGCAUAAGAGCUCUAAAACUCGCAUGCACAAUGAAAGUGAUAAGGUCUGAUGAUGGUCACAUCUGCAAGACCGACCGAUCUUGCGUCUGCGGACGCGGGAUUGCGUUAGAGCGCAUCUGUUGGGACCCGAAAGAUGGUGAACUAUUCCUGAAUAGGAUGAAGCCAGAGGAAACUCUGGUGGAGGUCCGUAGCGGUUCUGACGUGCAAAUCGAUCGUCAAAUUUGGGUAUAGGGGCGAAAGACUAAUCGAACCAUCUAAUAGCUGGUUCCCUC